CCUACGGGCGGCAGCAGUGAGGAAUAUUGGUCAAUGGCCGGACGGCUGAACCAGCCAUGCCGCGUGAAGGUCAGUGCCCUAUGGGCGUUAAACUUCUUUUGUGCGGGAGCAAUAAUGGUCACGUGUGGCCAGACGAGAGUACCGUACGAAUAAGCAUCUGCUAACUCCGUGCCAGCAGACGCGGUAAUACGGGGGAUGCAAGCGUUAUCCGGAUUUAUUGGGUUUAAAGGGUGCGUAGGCUGGGAGGUAAGUCAGCGGGGAAAUGCCCCCGCGCAACGGGGUGAAGUGCCAUUGAUACUGGCGUGCUGGAAUGCGGAUGCCGUGGGAGGAAUGUGUGGUGUAGCGGUGAAAUGCAUAGAUAUCACACAGAACACCGAUUGCGAAGGCAUCUCACGAAUCCGCGAUUGACGCUGAUGCACGAAAGCGUGGGUAUCAAACAGGAUUAGAUACCCGGGUAGUC
rnacentral:rRNA from 1 species